rnacentral:rRNA from 1 species
UACGAAGGGGGCUAGCGUUGUUCGGAUUUACUGGGCGUAAAGCGCACGUAGGCGGAUUGUUAAGUCAGGGGUGAAAUGCCAAGGCUCAACCUUGGAACUGCCUUUGAUACUGGAGAUCUUGAGUCCGGGAGAGGUGAGUGGAACUGCGAGUGUAGAGGUGAAAUUCGUAGAUAUUCGCAAGAACACCAGUGGCGAAGGCGGCUCACUGGCCCGGAACUGACGCUGAGACGCGAAAGCGUGGGGAGCAAACAGG